AUUUAACGCUGGCGGCAGGCCUAACACAUGCAAGUCGAGCGGUAGAGAGAAGCUUGCUUCUCUUGACAGCGGCGGACGGGUGAGUAAUUCCUAGGAAUCUGCCUGGUAGUGGUGGAUAACGUUCGGAAACGGACGCUAAUACCCCAUACGUCCUACGGGAGAAAGCAGGGGACCUUCGGGCCUUGCGCUAUCAGAUGAUCCUAGGUCGGAUUAGCUAGUUGGUGGGGUAAUGGCUCACCAAGGCGACGAUCCGUAACUGGUCUGAGAGGAUGAUCAGUCACACUGGAACUGAGACACGGUCCAGACUCCUACGGGAGGCAGCAGUGGGGAAUAUUGGACAAUGGGCGAAAGCCUGAUCCAGCCAUGCCGCGUGUGUGAAGAAGGUCUUCGGAUUGUAAAGCACUUUAAGUUGGGAGGAAGGGCAGUAAAUUAAUACUUUGCUGUUUUGACGUUACCGACAGAAUAAGCACCGGCUAACUCUGUG
rnacentral:rRNA from 1 species